UUCAUUGGUUGAUAUUGGGUUGUUCAGAAUUUUUAGGUCUUCUUCGUUCAACUUUGGUAAUUCAUACUUAUCUAGGAAUCUGCCCAUUUCUUUUGUGUUGUCCAUCUUAUUGGCGUAUAGGUUCUGGAAAUAGGUAUUGAUGAUCCUCUGGAUUUCUGCUGGGUCUGUUGUCAUUUCACCCUUUUCAUUCCUAAUUGCAUGGAUUUGGGCCUUUUCUUUCCUUUCUCUGACAAGGUUGGCUAAGGGUUUGUCAAUUUUGUUGAUUCUUUCAAAGAACCAACUCUUGGCUUCAUUGAUGUUUUGUAUUGUUCUCUUAGUGUCCAUUGCAUUGAUUUCUCCUCUGAUCUUUAUAAUUUCCUCCCUUGUAUGAGCUUUGGGGUUGUCCUGCUCUUCUUUUUCUAGAAGCUUGAGGUUCAGCAUCAGUUUGUUUAAUUGGGCUUGUUCUGUUUUCCUAAUGUGCGUAUUCACUGCUAUGAAUUUCCCUCAUAAGACUGCUUUCAUUGUGUCCCAUAGAUUUCGAUAUGUUGUAUUGUCAUUGUCAUUUAAUUGAAGGAGCUGUCUGAUUUCUUCUUUAAUUUCCUCUGUGACCCAUUGGUUAUUCAGAAGUGUGUUGUUCAAUUUCCACAUGUUUAUGAAGUUUUUUGAGUUUCUUUUGCUAUGUAUCCCCCAUUUCAUCUCACUAUGGUCUGAUAAUAUCCAGGGGAUAACUUCAAUUCCUUUGCACUUACUUAAACAUGUUCUAUGUGUGAGUAUGUGGUCUAUUUUGGAGAAUGACCCAUGUGCAGCUGAGAAGAAUGUGUAUUCUGAUUUUGUGGGGUGGAAGUCUCUGUAAACAUGUUAAGUUCAUUUGUUCAAGAGUUCAAUUGAGUUCUAGUAUUUCAUUACUCAUUUUUAGUCUAGUUGAUCUAUCUAUUUGUGACAGUGGGGUGUUGAGGUCCCCCACUAUAAUUGUAUUAGUGCAUAUAUGAUUUUUCAUGUCCGUUAGUAUUUGCCCAAACAAAAUCUUUUAGAGAAGGUUUCAGGAGAUUCCCUGGCCAGGCUGGCUUUAGCCCCAGAAGGUUCAUCUCCAAGAUUCCAAGGUCCGGACACCCCACAGUGCCAACCCUCUGCACCAGGAAUCUUGUCAUUUCUAUUUACCACAGAGGCUCAGCCAAAAGGACAAGAUAAAUAAAAAAGCUCUUAGAGAUGGUCUUCUUCUGGCUGAAGGUGAUUGAUUCCAGGUCCUGUGGGGGGUGCUCAAAGACUUCACAUAACCUGGCUUGGUGCCCUGUAAGCUGUGCACACUUUCUAUA
rnacentral:lncRNA from 1 species